ensembl:lncRNA
UUCUAUGGACCUCGUCUCCUGUGUUUUCUGUGGACUUUCACAACUGUCAGUUGCCUUCCAAUCUGCACUCUCACCAUGAUAUGUUGUCUGGCCAUCAACAGUCUCCAAACUUCAAAAUAGAGUUUCUCCAUGUUUGGGAAUACAGUCACCGGUGUGCAUCUCCAACAGGAGUAAGCGAAGGAAACAACCCUGGGGGGCUUUGGUGUUGAGCGGAGGAGGUGUGAUUGCCAAUCCAAACUGUCUGCGUUGUGUUUAUGUGGAAGUCCAAUAUCCAACUGCAGAGUGUGGCACUGAAGACAAGAGUGCCAAGUUUGUUUCCUGGGGUCAUCGUAUGAAUGCUGAAAUGGAGUCAACAAACAACACGGUGAUGUACAUGUUAUCAUUUUACAUGUGUUUGGAGGCAGAGCUGAAGAAAAGGCAUCCUCACAGAACAAUUUAUCAUUACAGAAUAUAUGAUUAGACUUAAACAUCAUCAACUUGACUUCUGUCACCGUUUCAUAUUGUUGCCUCAAAUUAUACAGGCACGGAUUGUAAUUUAUUUUUUUUCUAUUGAUAUUGGCUUUUACAGCCUGUUUUAAUUGAUUUUAUUUUAUUUUCUAUGGUGUUUUGAUUCUUUGAUGGGGGGGGUUUUCCCCCCCACAUUUCAUUGUUUUGUGAGGUUUUGCAUAAUUGUGUGUGGGGGUUAGGCUCUUUUUUUUUUUUUGCUGUUGAACAGUGAUAUCUCACUUGGGCCAACAUGUUAGGUGAGGAAACUGCGGAUGGCGCUAUGCCUGAUCUGUUCUCUGCGGGGAGUAAUAUGACCUUUGGUUUGGGGAGGGGUCAUCAGAUUGCUCCAAAGUGUUUUGGGAGGGGUAGGCCAGUAGUCCCGGGUAUUGGUGCCCACACUGUAGACCAGUCAGUGAUGCACUCACCAUUAAUGCCAGCAGCUAGCUCCACACCAGCUGCUUGCGAACGCCAAACACACACCCAGGCUGUCACUAGUGACAUGUUGAGCAGCUUGAUCACUGACUUAGCAAAGCAAAUUGGGGAAAAUAUCACGUCCUCUCUUAACUCUAUGCACCAGCCAGCCCCCACCCAGCCACAGUCUCCCCAGAAUGUGCCCUCGAGCUGCAAUGACCAGUCCCAGCUGAAGGUUGUUGUUCAGUCAGACACCAAAGCUCCACCAUACUUUAAGGGUGACAACACAGAUCUAUUUCCCAUCGCUGAAUGGGAG